rnacentral:lncRNA from 1 species
UGAUCCGCCACUCGGCCUCCCAAAGUGCUGGGAUUGCAGGCAUGAGCCAACACACCCCGCCUCACUUGUGCUUUGAGCACUUGAAAUUUGGCUAGUCCAUCUGAAGAACUGAAUUUUAGAUUUUACUUAAUUUUUUAAUUUAAAUCAAUUCAAAUAGCCAUAUGUGACAACUGGCAACUGUAUUGGACAGUGCGCUCUAGAACUCCUGUAAUGGUCAUUCUGUCGUGGAAGAUUAAGAACUGAGACUGAAUUGCAGGAGUUCUUGCUCAUGACUCCAAAUGAAAUCCUGUUUAUUUUUCUCUGGACAGGGCUUGCAGUUCCAAACCAGACAUGAUAUCUCAUUUGGAGAAUGGGAAAGGACAUGGGUGACAAUGAGAGAAAUUUCAAGAAUUCCCUAUCCUGACAUGGAGCCCAAACCUGCAACCAAGAAUGCUACACGAACAAAGGAUAUUUCUGAAGAUUUAUCACAGGAUGCCGUACUAGAGAAACUUACAGAGAAUGGUCUGUGGGAUUCCAGAGUGGAAGGGUUACGGAAAUGGAAUGAUAGGAUAUUGAGAUUACAAAAUAAUCAGGAGAAUCAUUUGAGUCAAAGAAUAAUUCCACUCAAGAAGACUCCCACUAGUCAAAGAGGCUUUAGAUUUGAAUCUAUUCUUAUUCCAGAACCAGGCAUUGCCACCGAAGAGCUUCACAGCAGAUGCCAAACACAAGAGGAAAAUUUCACAGAGAAUUUAAAUUUGGUUACAGAUACCCGUUUGGGGAAAGAUAAUUUGCAGGAAGCAGAAAGGCAGCAAGCCAUCAAGGCAGGCUUUUCAGAACUUACUUGGGGAAAAAAUGCCAAUAAUAGGGAAAACCCUACAAUAGUGGUACAUGCGGAAAGGCCUUUCGUUAAUAGGGUCAUUGCCUCAUUCAACCUCAAAGAACUCAUACUAAGAAAAACCUUAUGAAUGUAAUGAAUGUUGGAAAACAUUCAGCCAGCU